UUCGGGGAGUGAGAUAUCAUCUGGUCAAGUUUUAUACAUUUAACAUUCAUUUUAUAUGUGAGUAGAAUAACUAACUGCUUUUCCUUGCUCCUUUCUUUGUAGGAAGCAACAGAAGUUUUAACCAUCUUCCCAUGGCAUCUGACUUUUUUGAAGAGGAGGACUUUUCAACCACUUGAUGGAAGGGAAAUAAGAAGUUUGUUUCAAGACUCUUAUGUUGUUCAUCAGUGCUGUUAACAAACGUGGGGCUUGAGGAUACAUUUGCUGCUUCUCUGCAUUUUUGCUGAAGGAAGGACCUUGCUGUCUCCCAGCUCCUGUGGGCAUUAGGUUUCAUAAAUGUCUCUUGGGAUGAGGACAGCUCUGUAGAGCCUAAGUUUCAAAGGUAAUUUUAAAGGUAUUUUUUUUCUUUAUGCUUUUUCUUAAGUUUAUUUCAGUAUUUCAUUUAUUGCUUCAGUUAAAGUUCA
rnacentral:lncRNA from 1 species